GUAAGUCUUGUAGUAAUAACUUGAGGUUGCAAACCUUAAGGUGUUGGUGAGAGCCAACCGGGACUUAUG
rnacentral:tRNA from 1 species